AUUGAACGCUGGCGGCAUGCUUUACACAUGCAAGUCGAACGGUAACAGGCCGCAAGGUGCUGACGAGUGGCGAACGGGUGAGUAAUGCAUCGGAACGUGCCCAGUCGUGGGGGAUAACUACUCGAAAGAGUAGCUAAUACCGCAUACAAUCUAUGGAUGAAAGCGGGGGACCGUAAGGCCUCGCGCGAUUGGAGCGGCCGAUGUCAGAUUAGGUAGUUGGUGGGGUAAAGGCUCACCAAGCCAACGAUCUGUAGCUGGUCUGAGAGGACGACCAGCCACACUGGGACUGAGACACGGCCCAGACUCCUACGGGAGGCAGCAGUGGGGAAUUUUGGACAAUGGGCGCAAGCCUGAUCCAGCAAUGCCGCGUGCAGGAAGAAGGCCUUCGGGUUGUAAACUGCUUUUGUACGGAACGAAACGGCUCUGGUUAAUACCCGGGGCUAAUGACGGUACCGUAAGAAUAAGCACCGGCUAACUACGUG
rnacentral:rRNA from 1 species